rnacentral:rRNA from 1 species
GAUGAACGCUGGCGGCGUGCCUAAUACAUGCAAGUCGAGCGAACAGACGAGGAGCUUGCUCCUCUGACGUUAGCGGCGGACGGGUGAGUAACACGUGGAUAACCUACCUAUAAGACUGGGAUAACUUCGGGAAACCGGAGCUAAUACCGGAUAACAUGUUGAACCGCAUGGUUCAACAGUGAAAGACGGUUUUGCUGUCACUUAUAGAUGGUUCCGCGUCGCAUUAGCUAGUUGGUAAGGUAACGGCUUACCAAGGCAACGAUGCGUAGCCGACCUGAGAGGAUGAUCGGCCACACUGGAACUGAGACACGGUCCAGACUCCUACGGGAGGCAGCAGUAGGGAAUCUUCCGCAAUGGGCGAAAGCCUGACGGAGCAACGCCGCGUGAGUGAAGAAGGUCUUCGGAUCGUAAAACUCUGUUAUUAGGGAAGAACAAAUGUGUAAGUAACUAUGCACGUCUUGACGGUACCUAAUCAGAAAGCCACGGCUAACUACGUG